UACAGAGGUCUCAAGCGUUGUUCGGAUUCAUUGGGCGUAAAGGGUGCGUAGGUGGCGUCGUAAGUCAGGUGUGAAAUCUCGGAGCUCAACUCCGAAAUUGCACUGGAUACUGCUCUGCUAGAGGGCUGGAGAGGAGAUCGGAAUUCACGGUGUAGCAGUGAAAUGCGUAGAUAUCGUGAGGAAGACCAGUGGCGAAGGCGGAUCUCUGGACAGCUCCUGACGCUGAGGCGCGAAGGCUAGGGGAGCAAACAGG
rnacentral:rRNA from 1 species